rnacentral:rRNA from 1 species
UACAGAGGGUGCGAGCGUUGUCCGGAAUCACUGGGCGUAAAGGGCGCGUAGGCGGUGACUUAAGCGUGUGGUGAAAGCUCGGGGCUCAACCCCGAGUCGGCCGUGCGAACUGGGUCACUGGAGCAGAUCAGAGGCGGGCGGAAUUCCGGGUGUAGCGGUGGAAUGCGUAGAGAUCCGGAAGAACACCGGUGGCGAAGGCGGCCCGCUGGGAUCUGGCUGACGCUGAGGCGCGGACAGCGUGGGGAGCAAACGAGG